rnacentral:rRNA from 1 species
UACGUAGGGUGCAAGCGUUGUCCGGAAUUAUUGGGCGUAAAGAGCUCGUAGGCGGUUCGUCGCGUCGGCUGUGAAAACCUGAGGCUCAACCUCAGGCCUGCAGUCGAUACGGGCGGACUUGAGUACUGCAGGGGAGACUGGAAUUCCUGGUGUAGCGGUGAAAUGCGCAGAUAUCAGGAGGAACACCGGUGGCGAAGGCGGAUCUCUGGGCCGUAACUGACGCUGAGGAGCGAAAGCAUGGGGAGCGAACAGG